GCGGCUGCUUUCACAUGCAAGUCGGACGGCAGCGGGGUAGUGCUUGCACUACUGCCGGCGAGUGGCGAACGGGUGAGUAAUAUAUUGGAACGUACCGAGUAAUGGGGGAUAACCAAUCGAAAGAUUGGCUAAUACCGCAUACGCUCUGAGGAGGAAAGCAGGGGACCUUCGGGCCUUGCGUUAUUCGAGCGGCCAAUAUCUGAUUAGCUAGUUGGUGGGGUAAAGGCCUACCAAGGCGACGAUCAGUAGCGGGUCUGAGAGGAUGAUCCGCCACACUGGGACUGAGACACGGCCCAGACUCCUACGGGAGGCAGCAGUGGGGAAUUUUGGACAAUGGGCGCAAGCCUGAUCCAGCCAUGCCGCGUGUCUGAAGAAGGCCUUCGGGUUGUAAAGGACUUUUGUUAGGGAAGAAAAAGGAGCGGUUAAUACCCGUUUCUGCUGACGGUACCUAAAGAAUAAGCACCGGCUAACUACGUGCCAGCAGCCGCGGU
rnacentral:rRNA from 1 species